rnacentral:lncRNA from 1 species
GAGCAUUCUAAAAUGUAAUGGAACUCGUCGCCAAUAUCACCGUUAUUGCACAAAGUACAAAUACGAUUUUCUCUCUGAAUGUUUUGCCAUCUACCAAUUUCGAUAGGAAUUUUUGUGUUCAAAGUUCUAAAUCUACAAAAAGAAGCAAUGUUUUUGUCAUCUAAAAUAUCAAAGUAAGUUUCGAAAUUUAAACUAUUUUUGAAUAAGUUAUAAUUUAGAGCUUUUGGAGAAUUCUGUACAGUAGCAUACCAUGUCUGUCUGAACUGGUCAGUUAGUCUUAAUUUAACAGUAUCAUACAACCAGUUUUUACUUAUAAAAUAUUUAGUGUUCCAUAUAUUUGAUAGUCCACAAUUAUCAAGCACAGAUUUUACAUUCUUGAACCAAGCUAUAUUUCCAUUAUAACUACCAGUAACAAGAUUGUAUAGAAUAACAGGAAGUUUCUUAUUUUCCCCAGUUACAAGCUUUUCCCAAUAACUUAUAGUACGUAAUUUAAUAAAAAUAUCCAAUGGGAAUCGGCCAAGUUCCCCAUAUAUCAUAAAAUCAGGCGUGGACUUUUUAAGAUUAAGCAGUAAUUUACAAAAUUUUAUAUGAACACGUUCUAUAACAGAGGUGUUACCCAUUCCCCAGACUUCACACCCGUAUAAUAAUAUAGGCUUAACUACUUUAUCAAAUAGUUCUAGCUGGCUUUUAAUAUCUAAAUUAUGUAAUCUCCCCUUUUUCAGAAUAUCGUACAUAGCCCUUGUUGCUUUAUCAGCUUGUGCCUUUUUUGCUUUUGUGAAACUUCCUGUUCUAGAAAAUAAUACACCAAGAUAUGUAAAUUCUUCAACAAUUUCUAAC